rnacentral:ribozyme from 1 species
AUUAUAACUCCGCCUGUAGCUCUUAUAGGGUUGCUGCCGGUCCCAAGCCCGGGUAAAGGAGGAGGGUUGG